CAUUUCUGUUUUAGCCAAAAAGGAAAAACCCUUCGAUAAAACGUAACAAGGAAAAAAAAAUCUUCGGCUCAAUGUCGCAGCUUCCUAUAGCUCCUCAAUCGAUCGUUGUUUCUCAACUACAACGUCCGACCUAAUCUGAACAUCAAAGUACUUCCAACUGCAGCUCUGUGUUCUUACUCGUUUAGAUGUUGCUCUCCAACUCGGUGAGACCGAUACAUGUUUGCUUCUUCUUCUAAUCAAGUUUCUAUUGUUUUGAAUUCCAUAAACUACAUUGAUGGAUAUUUUUAUUGUUUUAUUAAAGUUACUCUUCUUCUUGUUCUUUUGAUUUUCUAUCAUUAGAUAGUUUAAAAGUUUCUUAAUAUGAUAUGUUUUCUUUUUUACCAUCAGUGAAAGGUUCUUAGGUUGAGUUUCUAAUAGUGACCUGAUUUUGUUAACUGUUGUAUGUGACUGAAGAUUCAUCUUUUGUAUAGAGUGCAUAUUUUAUUUUAAAAGUCUAAUUAUUUUGCUAACCACAUACACUAGUUUACUGUCUUUGAUGUUGAUAUUUUGUGAGCGAAAAAGAACUAGACCUGUUACAUGUAACUUUUAAUGUAGGGGAGGUGAGACUUGCAAAUAGAUAUAUUGUAUCUAUAAGGUCCAUACCUUUUCCAUAGAGCUUAUUAAGCAAGAAAAAUGUGUGUGUGUGUGAUAUUUAUAUAGUUAUUCCAAAAGAUUGAGUAAAAUUUUGUUGUUUUCACCCAUGUGUUGUCCUAGAUUCUUUCACAAUCUCUCCUGGAUCUUUAGUCACCAUGAGCACAAACUGCAUCAUCAUUACAAACAGAUAGUAGUUUCUACACGAGAUAGUUCCCAAAUGGAACUUUCAUUAACUCAAAGAUAUGAUGAAUGAUGCCAUUGAAUAUCAUCUAAACAUCUUCAAAGGUCCCUUUAUCAAAUAUCCUCUGUAAAAACCUACACCCAAGCUGAUCUUUUGCGGCCAAAUACACCUUGUUCUAUAUAUUUUAAUCCUCUAACGACAAAUCAUUUCUACUAGCUCCUCUCACAUGGAAUUCAAUUUCCCCUAAACCAACUUUAUAAGAUUCUAAUGCAGUAACCCAUUUCUCGCCGGUUUCUUCUCUUGCAACCUUUCAAUUUUAAUCUCACUCCUUGGUCUUUUCUUCUGACCCCUUAAACAUCUGCGUUCAAAAGCAUAUUUUAAAUAUUCCCCUUGCAUUAUGAAGCUUUCUUCACAACUUUAACUGUCUUGGUUUCUUGAAUUUGGAAAUGGGGAUAAAGGGAGAUUCAUUAUGCUAGUAGGCCUUUGCUAGAACAGGCAUUUGUUAUGAAGGAUAAUAAAUAGUAGGAAAAGAUAAAACUGCAACAUGGUACAGACACCAUGCUUAUUUAAGUACAAGGGACAUAGGGAACAAAAGGGGGGGGGGGAUACAUAGGUGGAAAGGUCAUAAACUAAAGAGUAAGCUAAGGACUUGCCAUGCUUCGCCAGUGCAUCUGCCAUAGUAUUUGUAGUCCUAUAGACAUGGUGAAGUUCAGUGCCCGGCAACUCAGCCAAAAGGUCUCUCCAGAUAGAUAAAAUAGCGAGAUACUUCGGGUUAUUAGAGGGGUGGAAUGAUGUCGCAAGUAACAGUCCAUGGUACAGGCCAAAAAGUAUUGCGUGGACAACCUUAGUGCGAUGAAUGGGUUAGGUGUAACAAAAUACCCAAACAGCUAAAGAACAUCUAACGGUAGUGUCUAGGUCGAUGGCUCCAUAGAUAUUCAAUUUAAAAGAGUGAAUGGGAGGAGUAGUACAACAAGGACACACACAGGAGCAUUGGGUGGCUGUAUAGGCUGGGAAGAGGCCAAGGUUGUAUAUUCAGAGACUCGAAAGAUGAGAUCGCUUGGGGAAACAAAGUCAUGAUGGGCGUUAAAAACAUUAUGGUUACAACUAAGCCAUAUAUUCGAAAGAGGAUAGGGAAUGAGGGUAGAAAAAGAUAUGUCAAGAGAGGGGGUGAGCAAGAUUUAGAAUUUCGCAGAUUUAGUAUGCAAAGUUUUUGAUUAUUUGAAACUAUAACUAGCCUUGGUGCUUGCUGAAUCAACAUUCUCAUUUUACUAUAUUUGCUGUGAGAAGUUAUUUUCUGCUACAACCAAGUGAUCACUACAAAUGACUUUCUAACAUCACUUUCUUCGAACAUGUAUGUUCUCACUUGUAUUGCCAAUUGUGUCCCACUUUUCAUGUUGAAUUUAAAUCUAAUGGAGGACUCAUAAAUUGGAGUUUCUACAUCAAUAUGUUAGAAUAGCUUUAGCUCCUUCCAGAUGCAAAAGGCCAAAGCUUGCAUGUUGUAAUGGCGUUGAGGUUUGUCGUCCGUCUGGUUCAAUUACUAUUACCCAUUCAUUAAGCAAUCCAAUUUUCACUUGAUCAAGUUUAACGCAGAAGCAUCAUGAUGAACCGGAAAAUAACAAAAUUGAUUUAUUUGGAAUGAGAAUUUAAUUCUAUAUGUAUUUCCAGCGGCUAACUACAUGUGAGAUAUAUUGUGUUCCAUAAAGUAUUGCAUAGUUGUGAUUUGUAAUUUUUUGUUCCAGAAAGUUUUUCUCCUGGGAAAUUUUGAUUUGUAAUUUUCUUAGUUCUUUGUUAAUGUAUUGUGUGAAGAUUCAAGUAAUUCAACUAUUUAGUAACAUUCUCUUUUCUGAUAUCUUUUGGAGGCUUAACUCGAAGAAAUGGUUCAAGCAGAUCCAUCUCUACCUAUUAUAGAGAUUGUUGAAGAACUCUUCUUUGCUCAACCAUCUCAUGUCCCACCUACUAUAUCAUCCGUUUCAAUGGAAUGAUCAUUGCCUAUUUAACUUACCAAAUUUUGUAGAUGUUCCUGGAUAUCACAUGACAGACUAAACUUUAAUUUUUUUGCUCAAUUUUUGUUCACUCUUCAAUGAAGAUACAACUUUAGAAGAUGGACUUAUAACUCAUUCUCACAUUGCUAUGCAUGUUAUGCAAAAACUUGGAUGCGAUCUAAGUUUGCUUUGUUGAUUACGCAAAUAUUGAAACUUACAUCAUGUGAUGAUCACACGUUUAUUGUAAUCAAUCACACUCUUUAUUUCUAUCGCCUUACAACCAUUUUUAUAUAAUCUUUUGUAUCCAGAUAUUUAGUUAUAAUUAAUGUGAUAUUUGUUA